CAGAAAGAGAAGAUGGCGCUCAGCUGCCUCAGGAAGUGACGUCGCCUCAUUUGCAUGCCGGCCAGGCCAGCCAAUGGGUGUGGAGUGUGCCUGGGGACCCCCUGGGCCCUUUCCACUGGACUCUCCUGGCCCCUGGACCCCGUGGGCCUCCAGGCCCUGGGAGGGGGUGGGCCCCCCCACGACCCUCCCCUCAGGGGCCAGGGGGGGCCGGGGGGCCAGCCUGUCAACUCUCCCCCAGCUCCAGGCAAACUCUCGAGAGAGUUUGGCUGGGUGGUGACGUCAUCAAGGGGGUGGGGCGAGCCGUCGUGCCGCACGUGACCGGUCACGUGGUCUGCCCAAAGCUCUGACUUUUUUGCAUGAGAUGGGGCGGAGCCAGUGGCAGCCAAGUGGGUAGCCCCGCCCAUACCUACAGACCAAUAAGAAGCCAGCCCUGAGGAUAGUGUCGUGUCAUUGGAGGAUAAGAUUUAAACUCUAGGAACUUGGACCAGUGGGCCUAUGAUUGACAUAUCUUGGUCAUGUAUGUGUCCAUAAAACCAAACUCCCACCAACCGCCAUCACCACAUGUCUACGUUCCACCCAAGCUGGUCGUACAUCGUGCUCACCCUGCCCUGUCCGAAACCUUUAUCCUCCUGCCUCAGUUGUGCCAUUUUAUACUGAGCCUUCUGUUCAGUUUUGUCCAGUGACUAGAAAUAGUAAGCACUCAAAGUUUAACUGAUCUGAUUGUGAAGCUACAGCAGCAAGUGAGCAGGAUGUCCCUGUUCAUCUCCCUUGAGAAGCUGGGUGAAGUGAAAAGUUAGCUACAGCCUUCCAGCCUUCCAUCAAGCAAACGAUGCUCACAAGUGCCUCAUCACUUCUUCCCAUUUCUCAAAAUAAGUCUAUGCUAUGUCCCUUCUCUUAGCCAUCCUUGACUCUUCAGGCUCAGGCAUUGCCUCUUCAGGACCACCACACUGCAGAAACCACUGGUCACCAGUGAUUUCCUAGUUGUUGAAUCCAAGAACAGACUAGUCCUCACUUCUUGGACCGGUCUUUCAUCUGUAACCACUAUGGGAACUCUUCCUGAAGCCCUCAACUCACAAGCUUGCUGUUCAGUUUUCACCAGUGUUCACAGAAUCUGCCCGUUUUUCUACGUCAUUCAACACAUAUUCACUGGUCACCUCCUUUGCCAGGGAGUGUAAUAAGAUACUGGAAAUCCAUACCUUUCAUUCAAUGUGGAAAUCCAUAUUCUCCCCCUGUUGAGCUCAACUACAAACCCCAUUAUUUCAACUUCUAAGCCUUAUCUUACCAGGUGCAUCAGGCAGACCUAUAAUCCCAGUGCCACAGAGGCUGAGGUAGGUGGGUUACAAGUCAAGACCAGCCUUGUCUCAAAACAGAAAACAAAGAUAGGAGCAAAGGAGAGAGAGAAUCCUCCAGUUCCUAAUUAGAAGUGGGUGGGACCCAUUGCACUCCCCAAACCCCUCCCCACAGGCAGGGUGCUGCUCUUUCACUCUUCCCACGUUGAGUUCCCAUCCGCACCAUAUGUUCCUCACAGGUGCUUCCUCCCCUGCAGCCCUGCCACUGCUGCCAGUGGUAAACUAAGCCUGUUUGCACACUGGCAGGCUCCCGGCCAGCCUCCAGCUUGUCCCCAGGGACUUUCCCCAGUCAGCCAUCUUUGUGAUGUAUCAAAAAGCAGGUAUGAUCCAUCAGAUUGUGUCAUGUCCUUAACCCCAUCUUCAAGGAAAGGACUAGAAGAAACCAUCUGGCAGCAGGAGAAACUCCAGGAUCACCUUCUAAGAUUAAAGGGGCUCAGGAGAAAUGGCACCCUGGACAUGAGACAGUCAGUCUCCACCUGCCAUCAAUGUGCUCUGUCACAACUCAGUACAAGGGAAUAGGAGCUUUUCUCCCAAUAGAAAGAAAGCUGUCUCAAGGGACCCUUAGGUAAAGAUUGAUGAUGACUUCUCUUUUGACUUAGAAAGAAGAAAGGUGACAGAUCUGACCUAAAAGAUUGACACCAGUACCAGGUUUUACUUACUGAGGCCUGACUCUUAGCACUAGCAUGUUGGGCCUUCAGUUUUUAUAUGAAUUCAGGAAACACAUUGUGAAGCCCUGGGCCAUAAAAAGGUAGAAUGUAUUUGGGGAAGGAAACCUGGCAUCCAGUUUUCCUCCUUUUUUAGUUUUUUUGUUUAGUUUUGUUUUGUUUGUGGAGCCUGCCCUUGAACUUGUUCUGCAGACCAUGUUGGCCUUCAACUCACAGAGAUCCAUCUGCCUCUGCCUCCCAAGGGCUGGGAUUAAAGGCAUGCGCCACCAACGCCUGGCCCAGUUUUCCUACUUUUAACUUAUAUGCGUCUUUGGUUCCUUAAAGUUUUCCAGCAUUUGCAGGUAGUCAAGGAAGGGUGGCUUUUAAUAAGAGGUAGCACAAGUUCCUUAAUGGUAUGUGUGCCUUGAUCACUCAGUGUGAAAGUUGGCAUGUUCUAACAGGGAAAAACAAAAGCAAGUAGGUUAUUAGCAAGUAUAAGGGCUGUGGCUUGGGGUCAAUGCUUCCAUCCAUCCAGAAAACAGUUAUUAAAUAAAACAUAUUCAAACCCAUGGAAGGAGCAAAUUGGACAAAGUCUACCUGCAUGUGUUGAAAUCACUCUUGGGGCUUAACCCUACCAUGGUAGACUUUUGUUUGAUUGUAUCGUAGAGCUAGAUAUGACCUCAAGUGUGUUUUUAAAAGGUUUCCCACCAAAGCUGACUUAAUAUACUACAAAUUUUUCUUUACUGUGACAAGUACUUUCAUUGUGUAUUUGACACUACCUGGUACCACUAAGUGUCUUCCUGUAAGUGUCACAGAUUGACUAAGUGGGAGCCAGGGAGACUCUUCCUAGCUUCCUCCUCAAAUCUAUAGCUAAAGAUGCAUACACUGACCCUCAGGAGUUUAGCUGGUAUCAUAUUGUUUGUAAAACUGAUGGACAAAUGACCUUUUAUUGUUGUUGUUUGUUGGGUUUUUUGGUUUUUCAAAACAGGGUUUCUCUGUGUAACUUUGGAGCCUGUCCUGGAACUCACUCUGUAAACCAGGCUGGCCUUGAAAUCACAGAGAUCCACCUGUCUCUGCCUCCCAAAUUCUGGGAUUAAAGGCAUUCGACACCAGUCAUAUGACCUUCCAAAGAGCAUUUCCUUCAACUUACAUGGAGUCUCUUUGGGUGGGCUCCACCUUUGUGAUAGAUGAGCAUAGCUCAAGGGUGGGAACAAGCCGAAGUGAGAAACACUUUGCUUCCAAAGUAUUGCAAAGUGAUGUUCUAACAAUGUGGGUGUAAGGGGGAAACAGGGUUUCUUUUUUCCAUUCUCCUUUUAGCAGUCUUCACAGAUAGUUAUUCCAUUUUGAUUUUUAAUCUCUGGUCACCAAGAAAUGUGGCACAACUUCUCCUAGCCAAAGAAUGAUGUAGUGAAUACCAGCUGUCCUCAGAUCCAAGUCACUUUUGACACUGUCUCCUGGAGUUCAUCCAGUCUCUCAGUGCUCGUUCCACUUCCAAUGAACCAAUUAAUGCCUUGUCAGUCACUUCAUGCCCACGUUGGAGGGUCCAGCAUCCCACCAAUUCCUGCAUCUCCUCCUCCUUGGGUUAGGUUGACUUGGAAUGAUGGCUCUAAGAACUUGGGGAACAUGCUCACUGGUUUGUUUAUAGAAUACUACAGAGGAUUCUGGUGUACACCAGAUGGGGGAGAUGCUCGGGAAUAUGGGAAGGGAACAGCCCUAUGCUCUCAGGAAGAGCCUGAGAAUCUCCAAAUGUUCCGUUAUCAAGAUGCUUCAUGAAUGCAGCCUUGAUGAUCA